rnacentral:rRNA from 1 species
UACGGGGGGGGCAAGCGUUGUUCGGAAUUACUGGGCGUAAAGGGCUCGUAGGCGGCCAACUAAGUCGGAUGUGAAAUCCCCAGGCUUAACCUGGGAAUUGCAUCCGAUACUGGAUGGCUUGAAUCCGGGAGAGGGAUGCGGAAUUCCAGGUGUAGCGGUGAAAUGCGUAGAUAUCUGGAGGAACACCGGUGGCGAAGGCGGCAUCCUGGACCGACACUGACGCUGAGGAGCGAAAGCCAGGGGAGCAAACGGG